rnacentral:rRNA from 1 species
GACGGAGGAUGCAAGUGUUAUCCGGAAUCACUGGGCGUAAAGCGUCUGUAGGUGGUUUAAAAAAGUCUACUGUUAAAAAUUGAAGCUUAACUUCAAAGAUGCCGUAGAAAACUUUUAAACUCGAGGAUGGUAGGGGUAGAGGGAAUUUCCAGUGGAGCGGUGAAAUGCGUAGAUCUUGGAAAGACCACCAAUGGCGAAGGCACUCUACUGGGCCAUUACUGACACUAAGAGACGAAAGCUAGGGUAGCAAAUGGG